CAAUAGCGUAUAUUAAAGUUGUUGCGGUUAAAAAGCUCGUAGUUGGAUUUCUGCCGAGGACGACCGGUCCGCCCUCUGGGUGAGUAUCUGGUUCGGCCUGGGCAUCUUCUUGGAGAACGUAUCUGCACUUGACUGUGUGGUGCGGUAUCCAGGACUUUUACUUUGAGGAAAUUAGAGUGUUUCAAGCAGGCACACGCCUUGAAUACAUUAGCAUGGAAUAAUAAGAUAGGACCUUGGUUCUAUUUUGUUGGUUUCUUGAACCGAGUAAUGAUUAAGAGGACAGUGGGGCAGUUCGUAUUUCGUUGUUCAGAGGUGAAAUUCUUAGGAUUUACGAAAGUACGAAACAACUGCGAAAGCAAUUUGCCUAAGAA
rnacentral:rRNA from 1 species